AAUAUUAAUAUAUGAAUAAAAUUUUUUUUAAAACUGUUCUGAUGGAGGAGUCACUUUAACUUAACAGGGGAAACUUUGUAUUUUACAUUACUAAUGAAAAUGUUAACUUGGUUUCUUCAUUAAGAAGAAACAAAGGAUGUGUGCCCAGUUUCUCUUUUAGAGGUGGUACUGCCUGUCAAGAAGUGCACAUGUACAAGGUUGUCAUAGCUGACUAUUGAUCAGAUUAUCACUUUAUGUACAAGGUUGUCAUAGCUGACUAUUGAUCAGAUUAUCACAUUAUGAAAGUGAUUUAAAGCUUAGGAUAUUCACGUAAAAAUGAGCCUCAAUGAAGUUACAUAUUAUGAGUAAAGUUACUGUUCUGCUCCUCAGAAAAUGUGCCACCCAUUUAAUCUUAAUAUAUUUGCAUUUAAUUCUACUAUAUUAUGAAUGUUUAUAAAAAAAUAAACUUAAAUAUGAAACAACAAAAAUAAAAAUUAAAAUCUUCAAUAUAUGCUCUCUAGGCUGCAACAUUUUCCAAAUGAAAUAACAAAAACUAUUUCAGGAAAUAAAAAACUCUGAUAAUAAUACACUAUUUAUGCACAAUUUGCAUUACAGCCAGUACAUGAAUGCACCAUUCAUUCUGAUGUUUGAGUAUUCUAUUUAUUUUUUACUUUUACAUAUAAAUAAAAAAAACAGAUGACCAUCUGUCUGUAUCUUAUUCUUAUGAGAAUCUCCCAUUUUAUGUUGGUUUCUUACAAAUGCAUAGAAACUCUUGUGACAGAGACCUCCAAACCCAUCACCCCUCAAAUACAGUAAUCAAUAAAAAGAUUAGAAGAUGCCAAUUCUGAAAAUGUUAUUUUUACUGACUUGCAUUCCCUUGCUGUGUACUGCGCUCUAAUGCAUAGAGAGAACUUCUAGGACUCCAUCAUUAUCCUGUGCAUGGGAAGAUACAAAUUACAGAUUUGGAAUCAGCGUCUUUUAAUCAAUUUACCGACUACUGUAAUUUAAGGGAUUUUAAUCAUCACCUAUCCAAAAGAAUCAUUUGGACCUUCUGUGAUGAUUUAAAGUAUUUGACUAUGGUGUCAUGGGGAAUAAUAUGAAGUAAGGAUAAAAACAUUGGCCCAUAUUUAAGAACAUAAGUGCACUAAGAUGUUGCUAUAAAGUAUGAGAAGAAUCCACUGUGUCUAGCUCGCCAAGGGGAUGUUUCUUACCAGAAAAGUGGUGUGGCUUAAGAUGAAAGGCGUGUGACCUAAGAUUUACCUCAUUUCUGGUGCAAAGAAAUCCAACCAGUUGUUGAUAACCACUCGCCAGAUUUAUUACACAAUAACAUUAUUCAAUACUCUCAAUUUUUUUUAAAUAUAUUUUUUUCAGACCAUCAAUUAUCCUAAUUUGAUAGGAUAACUUCCUCAGGCAAUCAGUUAUCCUAUAUCUUGUAGUAAAUUAUGUUCAAAAGAUUAUUAAGCGUGCUGGAUAUCCUUACUGUAUCAGUUAGGUUGGUGCCUUAUUUUAAGUGUAAUCCUGAGUGCUGUUAUCUCCGUUUGUACUAAACCAAAUGUAUUCAGCAUAAGCCACUGAUACAUUUGGUAUAUGUUUAGACAGCUUGGGUUUACACCACUCUACAGGAUGGGUAAAUCUACCCUAUUGUGUAUUAUAGUGAGAUGCAGUAUAUGACAUACAGUUUAGUCUUAAUGGAGCUCAUUAAUAAGAUAUGUCAUUAAGAGCAAGACCAGUCUUAUGUUAUACACGCCUGCACUUGUUUUUUUUAAGAAUACCUAUGUGUGCAAGGGGAGGGGGGAUAUUGUUUGUGUGUGUGGGGUUAUUAUUCAGCUUAAUCACUUCACUCAGGUGGAUAAAGUUUAUAAUGGACAACAAAUAAGCAUAUGGGGAAAGCGCAGGUGACACAUCAAUGUCAUGGUAAAGUACACAAAAAAACAUAUACUCAAUCAUAACCCACAUAUUGUAUAAGGAGGACGAAUCAUGUUAUUUCCAUACCCUUUUUUUUUCCCCUAUUACUGGUGACCAUAUGCUGAAUGAUUUUCCCAGUUAAACAAUAUAGGAGGAGGAUGGAGAGUGCUAUUGAAUAAUUUGCUUCACACAGUAAUGCAAAACAGUUUUAGUAGUAGUUGAUUUAUAUAAUAUGCAACAUUUGUCUAGAUUUCAGCAGAAUAAGCUAAUGAAAAUCCUGCCAAGUGCGUAAGCACCUCGAAGUGAUAAAUACUAAUGUACAUAAAGUGUACAGAAAAAGUUAUUUCAAGUUUUGUGUUUCAGUGCACAUUGAUAUAAAUAUAAAGGUAUGGCUCCUAAAAUAAGGAAUAAACCUAGGAGUAAAAAGGGUGAUUGCUCAUAAUUGCUUAUACCAGUUAAAGGCGUUGUAUGGUAUUAGAAAAAAAACAGAGCCAGUUGUUUUUUUUUUAUUAUUGAUUAACAUGUAUUUUGGGCUAAAAGCAUUUUGCAGAUUGGCUUCUGCAACGUCUAUUUUUCAUAAUACAUAGAAGCUGCAGAAUGCCAUAUUGUGAUAAAUCCAUCAGACAGCUCCUCUGACCGCUAAUUCUCCUGUUGCACCUUAGCUCUCUUGAACAAACAUCUAAGCAGAUAUAUGCCUAAGUCAAAGUUCAAGUUGGUUCAGGAGAGGUCAAAGAAGGGUAGGAGAACAAGCCACCAGACAGUUGGAGAGAUUUAUCACAGGACAACUUUCUACUGUUGCUAACUACUGUAAAACAUAGAAACUGCAGGAGCCAAAUGGUGCAAAUGUUUUAAUAAAAACUAUGACAAAAAAAACCCAAAAUACAUGUAAAUGAAAAUGGCUUAGAAGGUGUCCAUGGCCUUUAGAUUGUGCUGAGCACCAGAUACAAGCCAAGGCAAAGGUGGAUUGGCCAUAGACCCUACAGGAAAAUUUUCAGAUGGGCUGAUGCCCAGGGGGCCACCCGAGCCCUCCUCAUGGCUGCUGGCCAGGUACAUAACGAUCUGAUGCUCUCAGUAUUAAUAAGGCUAGGAGCAUCAGGUACUUAUGCACAUAGCCAGCAGCCACCCUUCUGAAUUAAUCUGUGUCAGGGUGAUGUAGCAAUAUUUUAUGCUGCACUGUGGUAUUUGGUUUUGCUGGGGCUGUAUUUUGUGCAGCGCUACGGUAUUGCUGGCCCCAUCUACUUCUGUUGUCCCUGCCAUAUUUGUGUUGCCUUGCCUACCAACAUGGGGCCACUUUUAUUACAUUUUUUCUAGGGCCCGUUAAAGUUCCCUUUCCCCACCGGAGCCAAGGUAACUAGUGGCUCAAUUUGUGGGGGGAAAAUCAUAGAGACCCUUUGUUACAAAUCUCCUAUAGUCCCUUUAUGCCAAGUAACUUAUUAAAUAUCUGUUGCCAAAUUUUAAUACACCAGAAAGAUUAUUCUUGUAAACCUGAUUAGUGAUCAGGAUUACUUAAACUGGACAUAUAAGGCACAGCAUUCUUUCAUUGUCAACUUUUAGACAAAAAAUUAACCAUAAGUAGAGGAUGGUGAUUAAUUUGACUGUAGAUGAUGCUUUCUCCCAUAUUAUGUGGACUGACAUAGACUAGUAUAGAAAAGAACAGGAUUAUGAUAUGACUCCAUACAGAUAAUAGUUAUAAUAGUUUUGUGAAUAGCAAUAUCAGAGACCCCAAUGCCAAAUUCAGUGGUCACUUUUUGUCAAUUCUGCUUAUAUUUCAGCACAUAUAUUUUCCUGUUUCUUUAGGCAUGUUGCCCCAUUUCAACUUGCCAUAUAAUACUGAUGGUGCAUACAGAUCAUCAGAUUUAACAGCCUGAUCUAUAAUGUGGGGCGAAGAGCAGUGCUCCUAUGUUCUAAUCUACUGUAGGUGGAUCAGUUGAUCAAAGGAACUAUGAUGUAAUAAAGGAAUGCAAUACUGUGUUUCAGGCUCUAUAAAAUCAAUACUGGAUCUUUAAACAAACCAUAUAGAGCUCUAAAAGUUUAAAUUAAGGUACUAAUUAAAAUAACUCAUUAUGAUACACUUGAAAAACAUUGAAAUGAUCAGAAAAAGUUGGCAUAUUUUAUUCUGUAAAGUGUUUUAUUAUAACAUGUCAUGUAUGUUGUAUCACUUUAUGCUAUUAUUUGUAAUAAUUCCAUACCAAAUUAAAUAAAUGUAUAGUAUAACUAUAAUAACUAAGCAUUCUCCCAACUGUGGAAACAUAACUGAAUUUAUACUCCAUGUUAUGAGUAUUGACUGGGAAAUGCUUCUAAAUCUUCUAAAGGGGUUCUACUAUGCCUUAUAUACAGUAUAUUUUAUUAAUAGUAAACAAGCUGCAGAUCAGCAAACCAAAUAAGCAAAAUCUAGAACAUAAAAGUUAAAUACGUUUUUAACUUGGAAAAGAAAAUCACAAAAAAAGUUUUAAAAAAUUCCAAAGUAAAAAAAAAAACAUUGUACAACUUUGUACAUUACAAAAAAAGUGCAAUUUCCUUUUACAUUUUGAGCCAAUCUUUGACAAAAAUAUUAAUGUUACCACAUUGUAUAUUGUUAAAAUAUAGUAAAGAUCUAUACAAUAAAUAAUUCUGAUAGCUGCUAUUUAUUAAAACGCCAACCACCCUGAUAUCCUCCCUUUAGCAAUAUACUUUUUAUCACAAGGUCAAGUGGUCUCUAGGAUUACAAUUCUAUUAGUGCAUCUGUUAACUAAAACAACUGAACUUAUAAAAAAAACAAAAAAAAACAAAACAUAUGACACGGCUUGUUUUCCUUUAAACACACACAAA